CCUACGGGUGGCUGCAGUGGGGAAUAUUGCACAAUGGGCGAAAGCCUGAUGCAGCAACGCCGCGUGAGCGAUGAAGGCCUUCGGGUCGUAAAGCUCUGUCCUAAGGGAAGAAUAUUGACGGUACCUUAGGAGGAAGCCCCGGCUAACUACGUGCCAGCAGCCGCGGUAAUACGUAGGGGGCUAGCGUUAUCCGGAAUUACUGGGCGUAAAGGGUGCGUAGGCGGCCCUUCAAGUCAGAGGUGAAAGCCCGGGGCUCAACCCCGGGACUGCAUUUGAAACUGUCUUACUAGAGUGCAGGAGAGGAAAGCGGAAUUCCUAGUGUAGCGGUGAAAUGCGUAGAUAUUAGGAAGAACACCAGUGGCGAAGGCGGCUUUCUGGACUGUAACUGACGCUGAGGCACGAAAGCGUGGGGAGCGAACAGGAUUAGAUACCCGGGUAGUC
rnacentral:rRNA from 1 species